UACGUAGGGGGCUAGCGUUGUCCGGAUUUAUUGGGCGUAAAGAGCGUGUAGGCGGCCAAGUAGGUCCGGUGUGAAAACUCGAGGCUUAACCUCGAGAUGUCAUCGGAAACCAUUUGGCUAGAGUCCGGAAGAGGAAAGUGGAAUUCCUGGUGUAGUGGUGAAAUGCGUAGAUAUCGGGAGGAACACCAGUGGCGAAGGCGACUUCCUGGCCUGUUCUUGACGCUGAGGCGCGAAAGCUAGGGGAGCAAACGGG
rnacentral:rRNA from 1 species